rnacentral:lncRNA from 1 species
CCUACGUAGGUCAAAUAUAUUGCCAUUUAGUUCUAUCCAGAUAAUUCACCCCAUGCUUUGUGACCUGUGGUUAAGCAGGCAAAGGGAUACCAUCUUAUUAAUCUUAUUCUAUCGCUUAAAGAUAUGGUGUGCAUACACAUAAUACACCUAAGCAUAUGUGCACACUAGGAGGGAAAAUAAAUAGACUUAUAUUUGUGGAGCACUGCUUGCUAGAAGUAUGCUC